UACGUAGGGUGCGAGCGUUAAUCGGAAUUACUGGGCGUAAAGCGUGCGCAGGCGGUUCGUUAAGUCAGCUGUGAAAGCCCCGGGCUCAACCUGGGAAUUGCGGUUGAAACUGGCGGACUAGAAUCUGGCAGAGGGGGGUGGAAUGCCGCGUGUAGCAGUGAAAUGCGUAGAGAUGCGGCGGAACACCGAUGGCGAAGGCAGCCCCCUGGGCUUAAAUUGACGCUGAGGCACGAAAGCGUGGGGAGCAAACAGG
rnacentral:rRNA from 1 species